rnacentral:lncRNA from 1 species
UUGUGCGUAUUGUUAUGCGUUUACUUUUCUUCAUUGGCUAGAGGUAUAGGGGGAAGGUUGAGAUCUCAUCAACAUGUUUAACCCCGCCGCAUUUUUCCGCCUAUUCCAAGUCAGGAGCCUCUGGCCUUUGUUAGUCUUGUAUUAUUUUAAUUUUAGUUUCUGGUGUACAAUUUGGAUAUUAUUAUGGCGUUCAUUAUCACUGAACUAGUAUAUAUUUGUUUAGGGGCCAGCCGAAGGACGCCUCCGUGUGCCGGAAUGUCUCACUACAUUGAAGACCUGUUCGUGACCUUCUGUUGUUGUUUUUUCUAUGGUCGGGUUGUUGUUUCUUUGACACAUUCCCCAUUUCCAUUCUCAAUUUUAUUUACUAUUGAAUAAUGUAUGAUUAUAUUUAAGUCAAAUAAGGCUAAAUAUACCAAAAGGCAACUCAAGAACGAAGUUGAUAAUUUAUUUUUGACUAAAAACUUAUUGUAAUUUAAUCAGCUUAGUUUGAAAUGUAGUUAAUUUUAUACCUAAAUUAGAUUUUUCUAUAUUGUCUUAAUCAAUACUUAUAUGUUACUAUAGAUAUGUUUGCAUUGCAUAGGAAUAUCAUAUGCAUGGUAUGACGGUAUUGAAACUCUAUUUUGAAUAAAUGCUGUUACGACGUCAUACCUAUUUGAACUAACGCACAACACUUUGUCCAUGAAAUAUGGAAAACGUUUUGUGUUACCUACUCGCUAUUAUUGACGUCAUCAUACUGCUCCACUUUAUCAAUUCGAAUUUAAACGGUUUAAAAAUAAUGAUGGGUGUUUUCUCACCAAAAAAAUGAUCAAACAAGUAUAUUUCGAAUUUUCGAUUCUGCAUACCAACUUGGAGAAGUAUUCCCAGCCGACUAUAAACAAUGAUAUGAUGCCUUUUAUUAUCUAUUAUUCAUGUUUUUCUUUGCCUAAUACGUUCUUCUAUUUAUUUGUAUUGAAGUCCUGUAUUAUUAUGUAGUCAUUGUAAUGUUAUAUUUAACAAUGCCAUUAAAGUGCGAGGGUUGGCAUUCCACAAAACCAGGUUCAACCCACCAUUUUUUCUUUAAAAGUGUCCUGUUCCAAGUCAGGAAAAUGGCCAUUGUUAUAUCAUAGUUCGUUUCUGUGUGUGUAACAUUUUUACGUUGUGUUUCCGUUGUGUCGUUUGUUUUCUCCUAUAUUUGAGUGUAAAUUCACAUUACUAUAAGACGUGUCACGGUACUUGUCUAUCCCAAAUUCAUGUAAUUCAAAUUCAAAUUUCCCUCAGUUUUAGUUUCUUUCCCCGAUUUUGUUUUUUUGUCCAUAUAUUUACGAUUUUUGAACAGCGGUAUACUACUGUUGCCUUUAUCUAUGAUCAACAAAAUCAUUUACUUUGUAAAAAAAUAUGUCCGUUUCACAUUACUGUAUACCUAACAACAAAAUUAUUUUAAUUUUACUGUGUUCAUUAUUUUAUUUAGCGUCAGUUUGUUCAAGGUUCAAGUUGUUUUUCUGAUAUUGUUUUGCACCAUGCCCCUUUCUCUUUUGAUUUUAUAUUUACAUUAUGCCAUAUAUCAAAUUUAUUGGUUAAAUGUUUCACCUGUUUUUGUAAGUGUGUCUUUGGAUUGAGUCAAGCCAUUUCAAUUGAUAUAAUUUACAGUGUGUUUCCAUGUUGAGAUGUUACACUAUUGUUUAAAGUAAGGGUGAAGGUUUGGACCUAUAAAAAAAACGUUUAAUACCGUUGCAUUUUUUGAUACUGUCCUUAGUCAGGAACAUGAUGUUCAGUCGUUGUCGUGGUUUAUAAGUGUGUCUCGUUUUGUAAUAUAGGUUAGACUGUUUUUUUCUAUUUGGAGCGUUUUAAACGAGUCACUUUUGAGACCUUUAUAGCUUGCUGUGAUCCAAGACUCCGUGUUGAAGACCGUACUUUGACCUAUAGUGGUUUACUUUAAAAACAAAUUGUGACUUGGAUAGAGAGUUGUGAUAUUGGCUCUCACACCACAUCUUCUUAUGUCUAUUUAAUUGUUUAUGUUUCGUUAAGUUUCGCAAGCAACAAUUUAAAAAUAUGCACCUAUGCUUGUCAUAGUUACGUUCGAUAACUCUGCAUGUUACUGUUUUAAUUAGGAUUAUGUAACAUUUACUGGUUACCCGAUGUAUUUAUGAAAAUUGAAAAAUAUAGUUAUAUUACCUCGGUUAAUAUUUAUUCGAGAUCUUCUUUUAUAAAUAUAAAAUUAUAUCGUUAUGAAUUUUUAUUUAGGAACGGACAACACUAAUCUACAGAGGUAUUGCCAAAACUUACAUCUGCAUAGGCAGUGUCAACACUUACAUCGUGAUUAGGUGCCAUGUUUGUUUUCUUUGAUCACGUUGAUGUUAUGACUUAAUCUAGCUUUGUCCUUGGCUAUCAUUAUAGUGAACAUAACGUGUCGUAUUUAAUUACAAUAUAAACAGUGAAAUUAAAUUGAUUUAUUUAAUUACAAUAUAAACAGUGAAAUUAUAUUGAUUUAUUUGCAUGGACAAAAUUACAGUCGAACAUGUUCUACGUUUGAAAAUUAUUUGGUCGCCAUUUUUUUUAAAUUUUAUAUACAAAAAAAAAAAACAAUAGCACGAUAUAUCAUCUUUAUCAAAAGGAAAAAAAAUGUUUGAUUCUAUGUUACGUUAAGGUAAGACAAAGAUUACGACUAAACAAAUAGCAUCCAACAGUUAUUCGAUUUUCAUUGUAACAAUCUUACAAAAUAUUGUUUUACCAAGUCGCCCCAUGCUGUAAAUGUGUGAAACGGGGGAUGUCUGACGUCGCCCAUGUCACGUGAUGACUGUUAUAGUUGGAUAUGAGGUCAUAACUGUUAUAAAUAAGUUAAAAAAAAUAUCAAAUUGGUUCCAAAAUGAUAGAAUUUCAAUUGAAUCAGAUCUAGAUACAAGUUUUAUUUCAUAAGCAAAAACUUCAAAUCCUUGCAAGUCUCUUAAUCUCUCGCCUCUACGGUGUUUUUGGUCAGGGUAUAAAUAAAAACCUCCAAUAUUUGUAUCCCGUUGGUAUAAUAAGCUUCCUCAUUGUUGAAGGAUUUUCAGCGACGUCUUGAAGUAGAUUACAUAUUUGUGAUUUCAUCUUUAUGGAAAAUUGCAUCAUACUAUAUCUACGUUAUUAUUGAUGCUGUAUACAUUAUGGAUAUGCGUUCUUUAAAAUAGUAGGCGUUUCUUUUCCUCUUAUUUUCAACUGUUUGUUUGGUUUUUUUUUUUAUCCCCGCUGUUUUGUUAUUUUCGUUAUAUGAAUUGACGUUUGACGGAUUUUUAAAGGCAUUUAGCAUAUAAAUAUACAAAUCGGGUGUUAUGAAAACAAUUGCAGUGUUACAUAAAUCCGUAAAACAGCUAUUAAUCAUCAAUUGAAAAAUGAUGAAGAUGUGAUAACACGAAGUUAUAUGUACAAUUCUAUAUUACAUCAUAACUCCCUUGUAAACACCCUUUAUAAAAAUUUGAUGACGACAGGCUUAAAUAAACGAAAAGAAUUCUUUAGUUUACAACAUGAUAAUUACUUAAUAUGUAGGUGGGAUAAUUCUCUGAUGUAAGCCACCAUUUGAUUAAUGGAAAACGACUUUAAAAAAAACACUUAUUUCAAGAACCCUAAUACGUUCACUACCUACACAACUAGAUAAAACAAAAUGUAUUAAGACAUAUAACAUUACAUUUGAUACCAACAGCAUUUGACAUGGCACCCCUGUAGGGUUAAUUUACUAAAUGCGGAAUUAAGCAAAAGAAAUGUCCAUACUUUUAAAACUACUAGAUCGUUGCCAAUACGUUUUCAAUAAUGAGCUAGUCAAACAUUAUAACAAAAAUACCAAACACAAAGACAAAUUCAUCGAUGUGUUUCUAUGAUGAUCUUGCAAGUUAUUAUAUAACAGCAGCCGAUAUGUCUUCAGUGAUGAUCUAGAAAUUUAGCCUCUCCGAACAGCCAUUCUAUCUCCUGUGGUGAAAUACCAAUCUAGAACCUUUUAAAUGACAUAAAUGGAUAAAGAGCUUAUUUUAAUUUCCUGCACUUGGUCGAUAGCGCUGUUGGACAGUCUUAAGUACUCGGUACUGACAAGAUUUAUACCAUAUACCGAUGUUACAUAGAAGUUUUGUCAAUUUGCACAAAGUUCAGUGGUCCGGUAUGGUGAGCAAAUGUGCUAGUUUCACAUGCAGCACACGUUUUUUUUUUUUUUUUUUUUUAAUUUUUUUUGGUAUUUCGAGAGCCUUAAGUCCGUUGGAGAAAAAAUACGCGUUCGAUGUUACAAAAUAUAUACUAGUAUCUUUGGUGAGUGUAAAUGUCAUCGAGAACUCUCAAAUUCUAAACGAAAAAACCUGAGUUUUUUCUUUCCUUAACUACAAGUAUUAUAAAAAAAAAGAUAACAUUGAAAGACACUUGGAACUGAUUUCAAUGCGCAUGAUAAAUUCUUGUAAGUAUCCUUUGCUUUGAACUUGAAAUUGAGAAAUAUCAGAAUUUUCAGACUAAUACCAAACUGGCAAAAAAUGUGUUUGUACCCUAGGGAACUGAACGGUUUAUCAAAAUAUGUAUCGAGAUAGUAUCGGCAUGUCGUAAAACUAUCUGCUACGGAAAUGUGUAAUUUCUUGAGACACGAUGGUGUUAUUUAUUAUCAAAAUAAAUUGGAAGAAAUGGUUUCUCUCAUGCCAUAGCAUUGAAUUAAUAAAGGAAGGUUUUCUGAAAGCAAUGUUGCACUAAAACCACAAAACAUCUGAAGUCAAAAUUAGGGGAAAAUUUGUAAAUUGCACACGUUAUAAUCACACUAUAAAAAACUAAUGACAGACAAUGUGUUUGCUAUUCAAAUUUGUUUAAUCGUUUGAAAGUUGCAAAAACUUGAAAAGUAAAUAUAUAUUUAUGAUCAUAUAUCACAAAAGCAGUUAUAAUGAGAAAUGAUUUAAUGAAGUAUGUAUAGAUAAAAAUGCUGCACUCCAUUAAAAAAUAGUAAAAGGUUCGGACAAGUUAUUUGUGUGGGAUAAAAGUAAUUUGAUGUAAUAUAUAUGACAAAACUGGGGGUGUCAUGUCUUGUAAGCAAACUGCCAUAUAAAAUAAUGGAAAUUCUGUAUAUUGUCACUGUGACCACGUCUCAACGGUGUGAGAAUGAAGACUUUUAAUCAAGUAUAAUUCGUCGCAUAGACUUCAAUUAUGAAUUAAACUUAAAAAGUAUACCCACCGUAAAAAUAAACAUGACAAAGUGUGCGACAAUUCAAUUGAAUAACUCAGCAACCUUUAAUUUGACAACACCAAUAGAAGUAAAACAUGCAUGGCAGACAUCUUUUAACAACAAACACCGAAUACCUGACUACUUUCGUUGGACAGACACAUGUAAAAUGUAGCGGGGUUAAACAUGUUAAUCAGCGCUCAGCCAAAACAAAACAGGCAGAUAAAUGUCCAAUUGAUGAAAUUAUAUCCAUGUCCCAAUAUCCAUUAUCAAAUGGCUGAAUAAGGAUUGCUCUUUAAAUUGUGUUACAUAAUUUGUGUUUAUAGCUUGCUAUUUAAAACAUGUCAAGUGUAAUCAUUAGGAGUUAUUGUGUUAGCCACAUUGUUAUGCAUAUGCACUUUAUUUGUACAAUUACUGAAACCCAUCUGUAAAACAGACGUUUCUAAAGUAGUAUACGUCAAGUAAAAUACAACGAAGAUGACUUUAGCCUAAUGCAUGUCGACUUCACACCUAUUCUGUAGCAUUAAUAAAGUAGUAAGGCGGAUAAUACGGACUUUGAAAUAUUAAUGCAGUGUAAAGAGUUGUAUCCUGAAACAUUGUCUAUGUUCUUUAUAAGUAAGAACAAUCAAAAUUAGUCAAAUCAAACAUAGAAUCGGUGUAAUUUUCGUUGAAAGUUUACAGUUUCCGAUUAUUCUGUCGUAUAAAAAAGCAGUUAAUUUCCACAAAAAAUUGUAACGAUUGAAAGCAUGAUUUUACUUAUUAACGUAAACCAUUCUUGACAGAGUACCAGGAUGUCCUACUGCAAACGGAUAUAACCUAUUGAAAAAAAACCUGGAUUCAACAGUCGUUAAUAUGAAAAUGAUCUGUUGUGUAUGCUGUACUAAACUUUCGGGCGUGUUUCAAAUUUCGAAAGAAUAUGAUUUUGAGUCUUUUUUCUGUGUAUUUAUUUGCAGACGUUUGUCCUUCAUUUUUCUAAUUGAAGAUGUUGAAUUAUUCUUGUGUUUCUUGUUGACUCUUUGCCUGUUGCUGUCGUCUCCCUUUAAAUUGCUUGCUUGAUAGGAAACCGUAAGAGUCAACUAUUUUACCUAUACAUAAUAUAUAAACUUCAAGCUAAGAUAACAAUACAUAUUUUUUUAACCGUAACUAAUAACUGCAAAAUUACGGGUAGUUUUUACUGUUUCUUCGUCUUUUCCUCUAACAACAAUUUAUAUUACAGUUAUCAAAGGCAUUAUCAUCUACUGAGGAGUCAUUUUGAUCUGUUGGGUACCGAUUUCCUUACUUAGUCCAUGCGGAUACGGAAAAAGCAGAUUGAAUAUUUUCAGUUUAAAUCAGUUUAUGGUUUAUUUCUUAUAAUCUUUUCGUUUGCCGCAAACAAACUGAAAUAUGAUUUUAUUAUUCUACUUUUUAUAACAAAUCAAAGAAUAAGUAAAAGAUGUAACACUAAAACAGCUGUAUUUAUAAAUGGGAUAAUAGGUUAUCAGAAAAACGAGUUAGGUCUUUCAUAAUUUAACGUUGGUUAUCUGUAAACCGAUUAAUAUGCAAACUUUCUUUUGAUAUAAGUAAAAACUUUGUGCACGGUAAAUUCUCAUCUAAUAUCAUCAAAACAGUUACCCUACCGUUUCUCUGUCAACCGUUUUACAUGGCACACUACUGAUUGGUAGCAAUAUAAAUUAUUUUUGUUUUAAAUGUUAACAUUGGUUACCAGAAAGUUGAUUCGAGAGUAAACUUGUCAGAUGCUUUUGUGAUAUUGGCAUGUGUAAAUUUCUUUCUUUAACUCAUGCGUGAUUCUCAAGAUUGUAAGCAUCUAAUACAAACAUGUUUAGCGUCACCGUAUUGUGAAUUCUACAACUCAUCCAUUUAUGUCUAUGUGUGUAUAUUCUGUUAUGUUUUUUUAGAGUUGGCUCAUUGACCUCCAUGUUAAAUCAAUAGACGUAAUUCAGGAAUCUUGUAAUUUUAUGAAAUCUUUAAAAAAUGGAAAUUCCUAAUUCACAUAUCUUGCAGAUUAGUACAGCAACGGUAUAUGGGCCAUCAAUCUUGAAAAACAAGUUUAGACUGGUCAGUUUUCUUACUAUAUAUAUAUAUAUUUAAGUAAACCAUUUUGUUUUCCUGUUAGCUUUCAGACUAAUUUAAACUUUUAUGACUUUGCCUCUGGGAAUUUGUAGAACAAACGACUGACAUGUUUUUAUGUUCAUUGAUGUUGAGAUAAAAUAAAAUAUCCGAUAAAGACUUAGUAUAGAGAGUAGAGGGCACAAUUACUUCAAGAUGAUUACCAGUCUACAUCAAGUUUUUCAUAUGAAUCUCUUUUAUUUUUGUUAAUGUAUGCUUACAAUGCAGUAGUAUAGAUAAUCGAUAGAAAAUAUAUAACAGGAAUCACCUAAAUAACCAGACACGACCACAGAUCACGUAGGUUAAUAGUUUUAAUAAAUCAAUCAUCAAGAAAUAUGAUAUGCGCUUUCAAUCAUGAUUUUUUCAAAAUAUCGUCAUCUUCCCCAUUAACUUUUUUUCUAUGGAAACACAUUUAUUGUCAUAUAGCAAUUAAAUAAAGGCAAAAAAAGUAUACUGGUGUUCAAAAAUCAUAAACUAAUCGAGAAAAAACAAAUCUGAGUUACAAACUAAAACCGAGGGAAAUACAUCAACUACAAGAGGAGAGCAACGAAACAACAGAAUACUGAAGUGCAACAAAAAAACAACAAUGAAAAUACAAACAAACAAACUAUUUGAUAACAACUGCCAUAUUUCUGACUUGGUACAAGACAUUUAAGAAAAAUAUGAUGGGUUGAACCUGGUUUUGUGGCUAGCCAAUCCUCCGUGCUUUACGACAAUGUUAAAAAAUAUCGCUAAAAUGACACAUGUGCUUUAAACUAAAAUCAAACACAUGAACUAUGUGAUAAAUAAUCUUUACUUUUAUAUACGAAUAGAAAAUGUAUGCCUAUUUCAAUCAUGAGUCUUGUUAAUGUUGUUAUUUUCCCCGUUAAUAUUUUUCGAUAAGAAACACCUUUGUUGUCAGUUACAUUUAUGUAGUUUCCUUUGAAUUAGGUUUUGGCUAUGCAUUGCAUGUUUAUAAGUUCAAGUCAUGUAUAGACACGUUACUAAAUAGAACUUGUCAUUUUUUGCUCUGGUCCAUCGUUUUUAGUUUUAACCUUUAGAUAAGAAAACCGGACAUGUAUUGCACACUUCAAAUAUACUGAAAUAAAACGACUCGACAAAUGAUUAAUUCAUCAGUGAUAAUAUAGAAAAUGGGAGAAUGAUAAUUUCAUAGAAUAUAAAAGAUCCGUCAUCAACACAUUGCUCCUUAAUGGCAAACGUGAUUCUGAAAAUAACUUCACGUACUUAUGUCAAACAUUGUCGACGUUCUUUGAUUGUUGAAACUGAUUCACAUAUAUUUUUUUCUUUUCGUUGUUGUAGUAUCAUCAUGCCUUUGGUGUUCUCUUUACCUAUUAUGAAUUGGUCUUGCUAAUAAGGAUGGCCAUAUCUUUUUUUUAUUUUAGUUUAUUAAGUUAAUUUAUCGACGUCAUAACGCAUACAGAUGACAUAACCUUCCGCAAUGCCCCGAGUAGAUCAACAGAUUGUCAUAGCAGAAAAAAAUCAUUUCAGAAAUUGACAAUCAGCUUGGUUAAGAAUAAAACUUUACGACGAAUAACAAAAAAUCCAGAUCGAUCGUUGUAGCUACGAUGUACCUAUAUGAAGAGCCAGGAUAUGUAGUAAUAGGAUAUAUCUCGGAAUUGAUUCGAUAUUUCAGAGGUUUUGUUUCUUAUCAUGUUUUAUGUCUUACAAAGAUGCAAUUGCACCAAGGGUUUUAACAGGCAACGGUUAAGUCAAUCCCUUGAAAUCAUAACAAUGUAAAUGUGUCUUCUUUUCAUGAGUUUGUAUAUCCUAGUGGUAUCUUACUCUUCUCUUUAGUUUUAUGAAAUAUAAGCAUUACAGAUGGCCCCAUUUGACUAACACGACGGGUUCCCAGUAUGCAUAUGUGGAGCAGGAUUCUUAGUUACUUAAUUAAUAGUGUUGGUAUUUCUUUUUUUUUUCAAUAUACUGCUUUUUGGCCUUGUUUGUCAAUAUCAUCGAUUUUCAUUUCUCUCAGUCCGUUGUCACUCAUCCUUGAACUCGAGUAUUGAACGACUGUUUGGUAUCUUCUGUUUUCAUUUUCUAAGACUUUAUAUUAUGCAUUAUUGUCAUUUUAUAAGACUUUAUAUUAUGUAUUAUUGUCAUUUUAUAAGACUAUAUUAUGUAUUAUUGUCAUUUUAUAAGACUUUAUAUUAUGUAUUAUGUUCAUUUUAUUUAUUUUCUCUUGUUACAUCUUUUGACAUCGGACUCAGAAUUCUCUUGAACUGAAUUUUAAUUGGCGUAUUGUUAUGCGUUUACUUUUCUACAUUGGCUAGAGGUAUAGGGGAGUGUUGAGAUCUCAUAAACAUGUUUAACCCCGCCGCAAUUUUGCGCCUGUUCCAAGUCAGGAGCCUCUGGCCUUUGUAAGUCUUGUAUGCUUUUUUAUUUUAGUUUCUUGUGUAUAAUUCGGAGUUUAGUAUGACGUCCAUUAUCACUGUACUAGUAUACACAUUUUUAGGGGUCAGUUUAAGGACACCUACGGGUGCGGGAAUUCUCGCUACAUUGAAGACCCAUUGGUGGCCUUCGGCUGUUGUCUGCGUGAUGUCGCUUUGACACAUUCCCCAUUUCAUGUCUCAAUAUUAUUUAGAAUGAAAUGUAACUGGUCAUAUGAUAAGUUUAUGCUAUGUUGCAAUUCACUAACUUCAAGUUUAUGUAAUCGUAGAUCUUUAUACAUACCGGGGAUGCCUUUCUUCCGCGAUAAUGACAUUUUGAUUAAGUGAACUCAAAUAGUGAGUGAUUGGUGCGUCUCAAGAUACACUCAUCAUCCGACUCCACCCCCCACCCCCCUCAACAGGGAUGCGGUCGAUUACUUUAAAAUGUAAUCGAUUAAAUUACAAUUACUUUGCUAACAAAAUGUAAUCGAUUACAUUACAAUUACACCCUAUUUCAUAUGUAAUUGAUUACAUUUGAUAACUUUUCUUUAAAGUAAUCAUGAUUACUUUCGAUUAUUUAUGAUAACAUUGUAUAUUGCAAUAUCAAAAGUUUUUUUAUAACUUUUUAUCCUCACAAAAAUGCAAAUUUGGUGAUUUUUUUAAAAACCUUAAUUUAUUCAUCUGAUUUAAAAGGAUUUAUAGACAAGUACAGUGUAACAUGUGUAAUUUGGAAAAAAAAGCUAUAAACAAGUGUCCUUUCCCUAUGUAAAAGAUAUGACUUUAUUUUUUUCUACAAAUUUUAACCAACUGCCUAAUUAACAAAAAACCUGAACAAAUAAGGAAACAUUAAUUAAGUAAAGUUCUAUUGUCUGUUGGGACAUAAUUGACACAUCCAUUAAUGUUUUACAGCUGUUAAUCACUACUUCUAUUUUUUUAACAAACAACAGGUGAGAUUGGGUAUUAAAAUUGUAUUGUCUUAAUAACAAAAUCAAUAAAGUUAAAAGUGGAAUAUUGUUCUUAGUUGUUUUAACAUUUUUAAUACUUGAUCUAAUUAAUAAUUAAUAGAAUUAUUGUCAGGUGAAAACAUAAAACAGCUUUGUAACUUAUCAAAGUAUAUACAUUUCUCUUUAAAUUAAGAAACAGUUUAUUGUUAUAAAAGAUAUUUUGUAUUAUGAAUCUUCUGACGUCACUUAUUGUUUACUAUGCAUUUUGUUUGUAAUAUUAUGCCAUAAAUAUACACUGUACAUGUACUUGUUUAGACUGAUGAGCCGUAAGGCUCAAAGUUAAUAAAGAAUAAAAUUUAGAAAGGACAUAUUAUACAUAAAUUUAUGGAAAACAAAAUUAAUUCAAUUUGUCAAUAAUUAAAAUCUGGUUUUAACUUCCAUUUUGAAUUAAGUGGGCUCAUAUAUUUAUGUCGACCAUCAAAGUAAAAUUGGAUCUAAAUGUUUUCUGCAUUUGAAUUUCAAUGUAGUUAUGUAAACAUAUUGGGUAAACUUAUAUAUGAAAUUGGAAUUAAUAUCAGAAGUUUUCCAUCUAUGAAAAAUAAAGCGUUCAAGGCAUAUUCUUGUAUCAUAAGAGCUCAAUCUCACAACGAAAUAUUGGAGAGGCAAUUUCCUUUAGUAAACUGUUAACAAAAUAAAACACUUAGUUAUACAAAUUUAUUAUAUAGAUGAUACAAUUUAUCACAUUAAACAAGGUCCCAUCAUUGUGAAUACUAGUUUUAUAAAGGUUUUGAUUUUGUAAAUAUUGCCGGUAUAUUUAACGACCAUUCUGUUAAAGAACAAAUUCCUGGAUAUUUUGACAAUACUGAGCUACCUCUUAUUUGUUAUAUUUACAAGAAAUUUACCCGGAAAUAUGUGUUUAAUUAUAGUCAACUGUGUAAAGAUGUUAAUAUCAGUGAAAAUACACCUACUUCAUGUAAUUGUAGUACCUCCGAAUAUAUUUAUGGACCCAUUUCCCAUGUUAUAACAGGAGAUCUUAACAUCGUUCAAGACCGAGAGUUAAAAUCAUUCCUCAGUAAAGGACCUAAAUAUCGUCCCCCGUCAAUUAUUAAUUGGAAUGAGUGUCGUAAUAUCAUCCACGACUCACUCCAUGCUUACUGUAUGAAAUGGAUAAAACGGGAAAAAGCUGACAAAAAAUCUUUGGACUCUUUUUUUAAUUCAGUAAUGAAGAUAGUUGAUAUACGUAUUCAACAUUUUAAAGAACAUUUUACUAUUAACAAUAACCACAAAAAACCUAUUUCUCGUAUCAAACAUAAACUAAAAGAACUAGCCAUGAAAUUUGUUUUUGUCCCGGCCGAUAAAGCUGCUAAUAACAUUAUUAUUGUUUGACGUAAAUUUUACAUUGAGGUUCUAAAAAAAGAAAUCACCAAUUCACCAACAUUCCAACUGACUCCAUUUUCAGAAAAUGACAUCUGUAACAAACAUAAACUUUUAGCUACCGCUUUACAAGCAGAGCCAAAUACAAUGAAGUCCCAACUAUGUACUGGCUUCCGAAGCUACACAAAACACCUUACAAAUAUAGAUUUAUUUCGUCUUCAAGCCAUUUGUUCCCACUAAAAUUGUCUAUUCUUCUUACCAGCACACUUGGUACAAUUAAAAAUCUGAUAAUAAAUUGUUCAAAUAAGGCCUUCGAAAAUAGUGGAAUUAAUUACUUUUGGAGUGUCAAGAACUCGUUGGAAGUACUUGAUAAAUUGCAAGCUUAUAUUGGUGAUUUUGAAUCUGUUCAAAGUUUUGAUUUUUCUACCCUGUAUACCACAUUGCCUCACAUUCUCAUUAAGAAAAAAAUCACACACCUAAUUAAAUGGGUAUUUAAAAAGUCAGAAUGUGAAUAUAUAUGUUCAAACUCUUUUAGGUCAUUUUUAGUAGCAAUAAACAAAAAAACUAUGUCAAUUGGACAUGCUUUGAUACUAUAUAUGCCCUUGAAUUUUACAAGAUAACAUUUUUGUUCGCUUUGGGAAUUCCGUAUAUCGUCAGAUUAUCGGAAUUCCAAUGGGGACUAACUGUGCACCACUUAUUGCGGACCUGUUUUUUUAUUGCUUUGAGUUACAAUUUAUGACAAAAAUAUUCAAAGACUCAUCGAAACAACAUCUGAUAAACAAAUUUAAUAAUACUUUUAGAUAUUUGGAUGAUAUUUUGGCUCUCAAUAAUGACGACUUCAGUAUGUAUAUUAAAGAAAUUUAUCCUGCUGAACUUACUUUAAAUAAAGCUAAUACUAACGAUGACCACUGUCCUUUCCUCGAUCUUGAUAUCUAUAGCACUAACGGAAAGCUGAAUACUAAAAUUUAUGAUAAAAGAGAUGAUUUUUCAUUUCCUAUCGUUAAUUAUCCAUUUUUAGAUGGUGACGUUUCCUUGUCACCAUCUUACGGUGUUUAUAUAUCUCAACUUGUACGAUUCGCUCGUGUAUGUAACAAUGUUUAGAUUUUAACGAGAGAAAUUUAUGUAUUACUGAAAAUUUAUUACACCAGGGUUUUCGAUAUCACAAACUAGUCAAAACAUUUACUAAAUUUUAUCAUCGGUAUAUAAGGACAUCAUUCGUAAAUAUAGCUCAACAUGCAGACUUCUUAUACGUUCAGGUAUUUCACAUCCAAUUUUUUAUGGAAAUAUUCUUUAUAAAGCAGAAAGAUGUCAGUAUUCACCUCAAAAACUAACAAAACCUUUGAAUAGACUUAUUAAGAAGGGAUAUAGUUCCGAUACUGUUGUCAGGUCAAUGAAGAUUACAUAUUUUGGCGUUAAUAUUGAUUCACUUAUAGGGUCUUUGCAUAGGAACUAAACACAUUUAUUCCAAAACCAGUUGUUGGCAUGACACGGGUUAUGUUCUUCUCAUAUAUGUUAUGAUAGUAUGAUACUAAACCCCUAACGGGAAGGAUUGUGCCUGAUGUUCAUAUGAUGAAAUCAUAAUCUUUCAGUCAGUUUAAUUGAAGUCUGGAGCUGGCAUGUCAGUUAACUGCUAGUAGUCUGUUGUUAUUUAUGUAUUAUUGUCAUUUUGUUUAUUUUCUUUGGUUACAUCUUCUGACAUCAGACUCGGACUUCUCUUGGACUGAAUUUUAAUGUGCGUAUUGUUAUGCGUUUACUUUUCUACAUUGGCUAGAGGUAUAGGGGAGGGUUGAGAUCUCACAAACAUGUUUAACCCCGCCGCAUUUUUUGCGCCUGUCCCAAGUCAGGAGCCUCUGGCCUUUGUUAGUCUUGUAUUAUUUUAAUUUUAGUUUCUUGUGUACAAUUUGGAAAUUAGUAUGGCGUUCAUUAUCACUGCACUAGUAUAUAUUUG